rnacentral:lncRNA from 1 species
GAUUUUUGGUAUAACAGAAUUAAUCAAGAAUUGAGUUCGAUUUUUGGAUCGGAGGAGACGAGAAAUUGAGUUUGGGGAUUGGGCCAUGGCUGGAUAAGAAAUAUUAAAGGUAUACAUAUAUAUUGAUUCCAGUCCACCUUAAUCCCUUGUCUUUUCAACAACAGUUCUCCUUAAUGCAUGUAUUGAUUCCAGUCCUGCUAAGGUAGCACGCAUAUUCUCCUCCAUAUCUGAUUCUUGUGGGAGAAACAAGGACUCUGCCAACUCUGACUGAUCCAAUUUAUUAGCAUCGACUAUCCUAACAACAUUAUAAAUCUGGUCAUGUAUUUUUGCUACAUAGUCCAACUGAUCUACCCUUAAAGGCCUUUGUGAGUCCAUCUUCGAUUCCAAAUUCUUCAACAUAACCUUAUAUUCUUCAACUGACUUCUCAUUUUUGACAGUUCAUUGUCGGCUAAACUUUGCUUCUCCAACAUCUCUCUUUCCAUUUCAGAUAUUUUCUCAUCCUUUUCAGCCACAGAUUUCUCCAAACUCUCAACACUAGAUGUCUUAUUUGAGACCUCUUCUCUUAAUCCUUCAAUUGUGGCCUCAAGCUGUAAAACUUCAAUAGCUGGAAGGGCAUUCAAAAAUCUGGCAAUCCAUGCCCAACCUUCUUCAAUUCCAUGCAGGUUACGGAAACCCUCAACUUCAGUCUAAAAAAAGACAAUAAUUUUCCUGUCACUUGUGAUCCUUCAAACUAGAAAAGAGCAUGGAGUAACUUCUUCUUUUUUUACAGGUAGAAUGUACAAUAACUUAAUCUUAUAAGACUAGCUAUUUGUUUUCCAUGGCUGCUAAAAUCCUGCACAACACACAAAUCGUCAGUUACUGAUCAUGAUAUAAUCCCUCGUGUUAAAAUACAUAUUUACGUAGGUAGUUUACAUGACAAAAUGAAGAUCAAAUGAAAAUAACCACUACGUAGGUAGUUUACGUUAAAAUAAAUAUUUACGUAGGUAGUUUACAUGACAAAAUGA